GUGAGGAAUCUUCCACAAUGGGGGCAACCCUGAUGGAGCAACGCCGCGUGCAGGAUGAAGGCCUUCGGGUUGUAAACUGCUUUUAUUUGUGAAGAAUAUGACGGUAACAAAUGAAUAAGGGUCGGCUAACUACGUGCCAGCAGCCGCGGUCAUACGUAGGACCCAAGCGUUAUCCGGAGUGACUGGGCGUAAAGAGUUGCGUAGGCGGCUUGUAAAGUGAAUAGUGAAACCUGGUGGCUCAACCAUACAGACUAUUAUUCAAACUCACAAGCUCGAGAAUGGUAGAGGUAACUGGAAUUUCUUGUGUAGGAGUGAAAUCCGUAGAUAUAAGAAGGAACACCAAUGGCGUAGGCAGGUUACUGGACCAUUUCUGACGCUAAGGCACGAAAGCGUGGGGAGCGAACCGGAUUAGAUACCCUAGUAGUCC
rnacentral:rRNA from 1 species